rnacentral:rRNA from 1 species
CAUAGCCCUAGACCAUAUCUAAGGUGAAACCUGCCCAAUGAUUUUAAAAUAAAAGGAAUAAAAAUUUUUUAAUAAAAUUUAAAGGACGCAGUAACCUUGACUGUGAUAAUGUAGCGUAAUCAUUCGCCAUUUAAUUGAUGGAUAGUAUGAAUGGUUAAACGAAUAUCCCACUGUCUUAAGUAGAAAUCAAAAAAAUUGGAAUAAUAGUAAAGAUACUAUUUAUAAUUGUAAGACGAAAAGACCCUAUAGAGCUUAACUAUAAUCUUUUUGAAAAAGAAAGAUUGGUAGUUUAGUUGGGGCGACUUCCUUUUAAAAAUAACAAAGGAAAAUAAAAUAAUAAAAUUUAUUACUGUACAAUCAAUAGAUUUAACAGUUAUGAAAAUAGAUUAUAAUGACCCGUUAUAAUAAAAUAAAAAAAUGUAACAAUAAAUAAAUAAAAGCUACCUUAGGGAUAACAGGAUAAUUUCAUCCAAGAGAUCUAAUCAAAAAUGAAGUUUGUCACCUCUAUGUUGAAUUAAGAUAACCUGAUAAUGCAGAAGUUAUCAAAGGUAGGUCUGUUCGACCUUUAAAAUCUUACAUGAU